UAGCUCAGUUGGUAAAGAAUCUGCCUGCAAUGCAGAUGACCUGGGUUCGAUUCCUGG
rnacentral:tRNA from 1 species